rnacentral:ncRNA from 1 species
UGGUUUUAUAAAAAGUAAAUUGAGUCGGAAAUAAAUAUGUUUAAAAAGUAAUCAUUUGUUUAGUUUGUUAACUAACUAAGCUUGGCUCUGACUUGAUAAUAUAGCAGGAACAUAGUAAUACACAUGGUUUUUAUUGAAAGAGGUGAGGUAAGAAUAAAUAUUACUUAGAUAAAUUAUAUAAAUUAAUAUUAUUUCUUAGGGUAUUAUAAUUAUAGAAAAUGCUUUGAAAAGUCCCACUAACACCAGUGCUGAAGGUUAAUUAUAAAGGUGUAAGCCUGAAUUAACUUCGUACAUAAAAUCAGGUUAACUUGGUGCCAGCAUCCGCGGUUAUACCAAGUGAUUAAGUUAUAUAUGUAGGUAAAAAGACAGUUAAACAUAUAAAGAUUAGUUUAUUAAGCAUUUAUAUAAAAGUAAAAUUUGUAUAUAAAUAGUUAAUUUUGUAAUAACUACUAUGUUGAAGCUGUGAUAAUCUUGAGGGAAACUGGGAUUAGAUACCCCAUUAUUCUUGAUUGUAAAUAUAAUUAAAUUUACCAGAGUACUAAGAAUGUUUUAAAAAUUUAAAACUCAAAGGGCUUGGCGGUGUUUUAGACCUAUCAGGGGAACCUGUCUCGUAAUCGACAAUCCACGUUAUACCUAACCUUAUUUUGUAAUUCAGUUUGUAUACCGUCGUCGUCAGGUAACUUUUGAAAACAUAGAAGUUAGCGAUAAAAAUUUUGUAAAUUAAGACGUCAGAUCAAGGUGCAGCCUAUAAUAAGGAGAGGAUGGGUUACAAUUAUUAAAAUUAUAAUUACGGAAGUUUAAAUGAAAGUAUUUUCAGAAGGAGGACUUGAAAGUAAAAUUAAAAUAUCUAAAUAAAUUGAAUAAGGCUCUGAAACGUGCACACAUCGCCCGUCGCUCUCGUUGAAAAAUGAGAUAAGUCGUAACAUAGCAGGGGUAAUGGAAAUUGUCCCUAGAUG